rnacentral:rRNA from 1 species
GACGAACGCUGGCGGCGUGCUUAACACAUGCAAGUCGAACGGUGAAGCGCCUUCCUUUUUGGUGGGUGUGGAUGAGUGGCGAACGGGUGAGUAACACGUGAGUAACCUGCCCCCUUCUUCUGGAUAACCGCAUGAAAGUGUGGCUAAUACGGGAUAUUCUGGGUCUGUCGCAUGAUGGGUCUGGGAAAGAUAUUGUUUCGGUGGGGGAUGGGCUCGCGGCCUAUCAGCUUGUUGGUGGGGUGAUGGCCUACCAAGGCGGUGACGGGUAGCCGGCCUGAGAGGGUGGACGGUCACAAUGGUACUGAGACACGGCCCAGACUCCUACGGGAGGCAGCAGUGGGGAAUAUUGCACAAUGGGCGGAAGCAUGAUGCAGCGACGCCGCGUGAGGGAUGGAGGCCUUCGGGUUGUGAACCUCUUUCGCCAGUGAAGCAGGCCUGCCUCGUUUGUGGGUGGGUUGACGGUAGCUGGAUAAGAAGCGCCGGCUAACUACGUG